rnacentral:rRNA from 1 species
AUGAGGAGGACGAGCGCGAUGGGCACGCCCAGCAGGAACCAGCUGAACUGCUCCGACGCCUCCUCCAUGAAGUCCUCGUACGAGAAGAACCACGACGCCCCCAGCAGCAGCGUCACCAUCAUCAGGAUCAGGAUCACCGGGUACGGCAGCGGCGACAGCGUGAACGCCUCCAGCACCGACGACUCCCCGCGCCGGUCGUAG